rnacentral:rRNA from 1 species
AGAUUGAACGCUGGCGGCAUGCCUUACACAUGCAAGUCGAACGGUAGAGUAGCAAUACUCGAGAGUGGCGAACGGGUGAGUAAUAUAUCGGAACGUGCCCAGUCGUGGGGGAUAACGUAGAGAAAUUUACGCUAAUACCGCAUACGAUCUAAGGAUGAAAGCGGGGAUUCGCAAGAACCUCGCGCGAUUGGAGCGGCUGAUAUCAGAUUAGGUUGUUGGUGAGGUAAAAGCUCACCAAGCCGACGAUCUGUAGCUGGUUUGAGAGAACGACCAGCCACACUGGGACUGAGACACGGCCCAGACUCCUACGGAGGCAGCAGUGGGGAAUUUGGACAAUGGGCGAAAGCCUGAUCCAGCAAUGCCGCGUGCAGGAAGAAAGGGCCCUGGUUCGG